rnacentral:tRNA from 1 species
GAAUAUGAAGCAAUUUAUGCAAUUAGUUUCGACCUAAUUAUUGAUAUUAAUUUAUACUUAUUCU